GAUGAACGCUAGCGGCAGGCUUAACACAUGCAAGUCGAGGGGUAUUGGUUUUCGGACCAAGAGACCGGCGCACGGGUGCGUAACGCGUAUGCAAUCUACCUUUUGCAGAGGGAUAGCCCCAGAGAAAUUUGGAUUAAUACCUCAUAGUAUAGUACUUUGGCAUCAAGGAACUAUUAAAGUCACAACGGCAAAGAUGAGCAUGCGUCCAUUAGCUAGUUGGUAAGGUAACGGCUUACCAAGGCUACGAUGGGUAGGGGUCCUGAGAGGGAGAUCCCCCACACUGGUACUGAGACACGGACCAGACUCCUACGGGAGGCA
rnacentral:rRNA from 1 species